rnacentral:tRNA from 1 species
GGAGAAAUAGCGAAGUGGCCAAACGCGGCUGACUGUAAAUCAGUUCCUUCGGGUUCGGUGGUUCAAAUCCACCUUUCUCCACCA